GAGUCAUUAGCUCAGUUGGUAGAGCACCUGACUUUUAAUCAGGGUGUCGAAGGUUCGAAUCCUUCAUGACUCAC
rnacentral:tRNA from 1 species